rnacentral:rRNA from 1 species
GAACGUUGGCGGCGUGGAUUAGGCAUGCAAGUCGUACGCACAGCUUCGGCUGUGAGUGGCGCGAAGGGUGAGUAAUGCGAAGGUAACCAACCCUGGAGUUGGGCAUAACCGCGGGAAACUGCGGGUAAUUCCCAGCGAUGUCUCGAGAUGGCAUCAUCUUGCGACCAAAGGUGUGAUUCCGCUCUAGGACGGGCCUUCGUGGUAUUAGGUAGUUGGUGAGGUAACGGCUCACCAAGCCGACGAUGCCUACCGGGUGUGAGAGCAUGACCCGGCACACUGGAACUGAGACACUGUCCAGACACCUACGGGUGGCUGCAGUCGAGAAUCUUCGGCAAUGGGCGAAAGCCUGACCGAGCGACGCCGCGUGAGGGAAGAAGGCCUUCGGGUUGUAAACCUCUUUCGUAGAGGAGGAAGGGGCCGUGCAGAGCGGUCUUUGACCUAUUCUAGGAAGAAGCUUGGGCUAAGUUCGUG